AAAUAACUGCAGACGGUA
rnacentral:rRNA from 1 species